AUCCAACUGACGAGUCCCAAAUAGAACGAUACGCGUGUCGUGGAU
rnacentral:hammerhead_ribozyme from 1 species